AACGAACGCUGGCGGCAUGCCUAACACAUGCAAGUCGAACGAGACCUUCGGGUCUAGUGGCGCACGGGUGCGUAACGCGUGGGAAUCUGCCCUUGGGUUCGGAAUAACAGUUAGAAAUGACUGCUAAUACCGGAUGAUGACGUAAGUCCAAAGAUUUAUCGCCCAGGGAUGGGCCCGCGUAGGAUUAGCUUGGUGGUGAGGUAAAAGCUCACCAAGGCGACGAUCCUUAGCUGGUCUGAGAGGAUGAUCAGCCACACUGGGACUGGGACACGGCCCAGACUCCUACGGGAGGCAGCAGUGGGGAAUCUUGGACAAUGGGCGCAAGCCUGAUCCAGCCAUGCCGCGUGAGUGACGAAGGCCUUAGGGUUGUAAAGCUCUUUUGCCGGGGACGAUAAUGACGGUACCUGGAGAAUAAGUCCCGGCUAACUUCGUGCCAGCAGCCGCCGUAAGAC
rnacentral:rRNA from 1 species